rnacentral:rRNA from 1 species
GACGAACGCUGGCGGCGUGCUUAACACAUGCCAGUCGAACGGAAAGGCCUCUUUCGGGGGGUACUCGAGUGGCGAACGGGUGAGUAACACGUGAGUAACCUGCCCUUGACUUUGGGAUAACUUCAGGAAACUGGGGCUAAUACCGGAUAGGAGCUCCUGCUGCAUGGUGGGGGUUGGAAAGUUUCGGCGGGUGGGGAUGGACUCGCGGCUUAUCAGCUUGUUGGUGGGGUAGUGGCUUACCAAGGCGUUGACGGGUAGCCGGCCUGUGAGGGUGACCGGCGACAUUGGGACUUAGAGACGGCCCAGGCUCCUACGGGAGGCAGCAGGGGGGAAUAUUGCACAAUGGGUGGAAGCCUGAUGCAGCAACGCCGUGUGCGGGAUGACGGCCUUCGGGUUGUAAACCGCAUUCGCUCAUGACGAAGCUUUGUGUGACGGUAGUGGGUAAAGAAGCACCGGCUAACUACGUG